CCAGGACUACGUUUCCCAGCGGCUCCUCCGGGGGGCUGCACAUGCUCGGUGCGGCUCCCGGCGACUCCCGGCAGCUCCCGGCGCGGCGCCCGGUGCGGCUCCCGGCGGAGCUCCCGGUGCAGCUCCCGGCGAUUCCCGGUGCAGCUCCCGGCGGAGCUCCCGGUGCGGCUCCCGGUGCAGCUCCCGGUGCGGCUCCCGGUGAAGCUCCCGGUGCAGCUCCCGGUGCGGCUCCCGGUGCGGCUCCCGGUGCGCCCUCGGGAGCGCACGACCGAGCCCCGGGGCUGAGCCCUGCCCAUCCCAGCCUCACCACCGGCCCCGGGGCCGAGCUUUUCCCCGGCACCCACCCUCACCACCCCCACGGGCAGCAUGCCCCGCGGGCGAGCGUGGACGCAGGCGGAGGUCAGCAGCCUCCUGGCGCUGGUGGAGGGCUCGGGGGAGGCCGCCUUGCUCAUGGCCUCCACGUCGAGGCCCAACGAGGCACUGUGGCGGGAGAUCUCCCAAGGGCUGGCGGCGGCUGGCUACGGGCGCAGCGUGGCCCAGUGCCGCUCCAAGUGGAAGGCCCUCAAGCAGGCUUUCCACUCGGAGCGGGAGACGCGCCGGAGGGCCGGCUGCCACUCGCCCCGGCUGCCCCCGCACUACCAAGCCAUGAAGAGCAUCUGGAAGGCGGCCGGGAGGCCCGUCUUUGGCGAGCGGAGGAUGCCAGACCUGGUGAGACAGCCCUCCAGGAAGCGCAGGUCAGCCCUUGCCGCCCGCUCUCCGUCCUCACCAGGGCCACCAGGGCACGAUGAUGGCAAGGACGCCCCGGGUGUGCUGCUGUCCCCAUUGCUGCAGCGUGCGAAGGAUGAGCCAGACAGCCCAGCCGGUGGUGGGGAACACAUCGCUGGAGUGCUGCCCACUCCCCCUGCUGUGCCACGCUGUCACACCACCCUGAAGCAGGAGAGAGCUGAGCAAAAGGCUGCAGGUUUUCCUGGUGAGACGUCCCUGGGGAUAGGAAGAAGAAACCAAGUGCUGCCAGUGGCCACCGCAGCCCUGGGCUCCCCUGGGAUGGCUGCCAUGAGUGAGCAGCCGGCAACGAGUGAAGAGGCGUUGGACGCAAGCCUGCAUGGCUCAGGUGUGCCAGGCUUGCUCCAGAACGUCCAGCAGCUGCUGGUGCAGAUCCUACAGACGUCACGGCAGCAGCAGGCGCUGCUGGAGAGCCUGGCCAGUGAUACCGUCUCCCACCUUAACUUCCUCUCCCACAGCCUGGUGCAGGUGGGUGAGACCCUGCACCAGCUCCUGCUCCGGCCACAGACCUACUUCAGCCCCUUUGUCCACUACAGUCCCCACGUGCCCAUUUUUGAGGGUGGCCCUGGGGUGCCCUGUUCCGCCGGCUCUCCCCGCGCCUCCCCGGAUCACAAAGAGGAGCCUCAGGUGUCCCCUGCCUCUGGCUGCACCCCGUGAGUGCCACCACCCUCAGCCCCAGGGGCACCAGCUUCACUAUGCAGCCACAGCACAGAUCUUUAUAGCAGAGGCCCUGGAUAUUUUGGAAGUUUAUAGAAGAGAGACAUUUAAAUAAAAUUAAAAAUAGCUUUUUCUACCA
rnacentral:lncRNA from 1 species